ensembl:lncRNA NADK2-AS1 NADK2 antisense RNA 1
GAUUGAAUAUUGGGGGGCAGGGAGGAGUACAUUAAAGGGUACCUAAAUACUAGGAAGCUACCUUGGAGGCUGACUACCACAUGCCCUCUAUCCCAUUUUGAAUAUUAAGCUUUCAAAUGUUGUAAUUAUUUACCAGGCUCGGUAGAGUGGCUAUAGAAUACAGAAGAGAUGGAUAGAAAUUACACAUUUGAUUUAGAUGAGUCCAUGUGAGUGGGCCAUCUUGAAAGUGGAUCCUCCAGCCCAAGUCAAGCCUUCAGAUGCCUACAGACCAAGCUGACAUCUACUUAUCCUCAGGAGAGAUCUCAAGCCAAAACCACCCAGCCAAACUGCUCCUGAACUCCGACAUGCACAACCCGACUGAGACACCACUAUAUUUAAGAUAAAGAAAUCAGACAACUUGAAGCAUACACAAAACCAGAAGGCAAUUUAACAUAUCUGCCUGGAGGCAAGAAGAGAAACCAAAGAACUUCUAACACCUGUUCUUCUAGCUAGAAAAUAGAGAAGAGAUGACAAUAUUAACAAUUGCUUGCCAGCUUCAAAUUCCCACAAAUUUAUGAAUAUGAAGCCAGUUUCCAAAAGAAAAUAUAGUUCAAUAAACUGUGUAACAUAUGAUCACUAAAGUGAUCUUUUACCUUAAUGAUAUAAAAAUAAGCCAUUAAGAAGUUCUAAAACCCAAAUGCAUCAACACUGAUGGCAAUUAAAAAUUAAUUACUGAACCAA